rnacentral:rRNA from 1 species
UACGUAGGUCCAGAGCGUUGUCCGGAUUUAUUGGGCGUAAAGCGAGCGCAGGUGGUUUAUUAAGUCUGGUGUAAAAGGCAGUGGCUCAACCAUUGUAUGCAUUGGAAACUGGUAGACUUGAGUGCAGGAGAGGAGAGUGGAAUUCCAUGUGUAGCGGUGAAAUGCGUAGAUAUAUGGAGGAACACCGGUGGCGAAAGCGGCUCUCUGGCCUGUAACUGACACUGAGGCUCGAAAGCGUGGGGAGCAAACAGG